GGCUGGUCCAAAGGUAGUGAGUUAUCUCACGUGAUUGUUCACAGUCAGUUACAGAUCGAACUCCUUGUUCUACUGCUUUCCCCCUCCUCACUACUGCACUUGACUAGUCUUAA
rnacentral:Y_RNA from 1 species